rnacentral:rRNA from 1 species
CCUACGGGAGGCAGCAGUGGGGAAUAUUGCACAAUGGGGGAAACCCUGAUGCAGCGACGCCGCGUGAGUGAAGAAGCGUUUCGGCGCGUAAAGCUCUGUCAGCGGGGAAGAAACACGGUUCGCGAGAGCCGCUGACGGUACCCGACCAAGAAGCCCCGGCUAACUACGUGCCAGCAGCCGCGGUAAUACGUAGGGGGCAAGCGUUAUCCGGAUGCACUGGGGGUAAAGGGAGCGUAGACGGCGAGACAAGUCUGGAGUGAAAGGCCGGGGCCCAACCCCGGGACUGCUCUGGAAACUGCCUGGCUGGAGUACAGGAGAGGUAAGUGGAAUUCCUAGUGUAGCGGUGAAAUGCGUAGAUAUUAGGAGGAACACUAGUGGCGAAGGCGGCUUACUGGACUGUAACUGACGUUGAGGCUCGAAAGCGUGGGGAGCAAACAGGAUUAGAUACCCCAGUAGUC